rnacentral:rRNA from 1 species
UGGGGAAUCUUGCGCAAUGGGCGAAAGCCUGACGCAGCGACGCCGCGUGCGGGAAGAAGGCCUUAGGGUUGUAAACCGCUUUCAGGAGGGACGAAGCCACUCGGGUGAAUAGCCCAGAGGGUGACGGUACCUCCAGAAGAAGCCCCGGCUAACUACGUGCCAGCAGCCGCGGUAAUACGUAGGGGGCAAGCGUUGUCCGGAUUCAUUGGGCGUAAAGAGCGUGUAGGCGGCCAGGUAGGUCGGUUGUGAAAACUGGAGGCUCAACCUUCAGACGUCGACCGAAACCAUCUGGCUAGAGUCCGGGAGAGGAGAGUGGAAUUCCUGGUGUAGCGGUGAAAUGCGCAGAUAUCAGGAAGAACACCCGUGGCGAAAGCGGCUCUCUGGAACGGUACUGACGCUGAGACGCGAAAGCGUGGGGAGCGAACAGGAUUAGAUACCCUGGUAGUCCACGCCGUAAACGAUGGGCGCUAGGUGUGGGAGGUGUCGACUCCUUCCGUGCCGCAGCUAACG